GAUGAACGUUGGCGGUGUGCCUAAUACAUGCAAGUCGAACGGAGACUGUAGCAAUACUGUCUUAGUGGCGAACGGGUGAGUAACGCGUUGGUGAUCUGCCUCGAAGUGUGGAAUAACCUCCCGAAAGGGAAGCUAAUACCGCAUAGUCUCUCAAGGUUUAGAAAAUUGAGAGUAAAGGAUUUAUUCGCUUCGAGAGGAGCCUGCGUCCCAUCAGCUAGUUGGUAGGGUAACGGCCUACCAAGGCAAUGACGGGUAGCUGGUCUGAGAGGAUGAUCAGCCACACUGGCACUGGAACACGGGCCAGACUCCUACGGGAGGCAGCAGUGAGGAAUUUUGCGCAAUGGCCGCAAGGCUGACGCAGCAACGCCGCGUGGGUGAUGAAGGCCUUCGGGUCGUAAAGCCCUGUCAGGUGGGAAGAAAGGCCUGGAGAGGAAAGGUUUCAGGUUUGACGGUACCACCAGAGGAAGCACCGGCUAACUCCGUG
rnacentral:rRNA from 1 species